UUGGAAGCAGUUGAAGUGAAUUUGUCUGGCUGGUGAUUUGUGAGGUGAUUGACGAUGGUGGUGCAGAUUCUGUGGAACUAUGGAGGAGGUGGUCAAAGAUAGAAGGGAUAGAAGACGAUGAGGAUUUAAGUAUGGAUUGGAAAAAGUUGGUGGCGGAAGAGAGGUGGUAGAAGGAGAGGGUGUUUGUAGCUUCCAUGGCUACUAAUAGAAGCAGAUUCAAGCUCAUAGUGAACCCUGCCAUUUUUGUAGUUCCCUCAACCUUCUCUUUGCACGGAUCCAAAGUUUUUAAAUUUCUCAACAUAGUUUUUUUUGUUUUUUAGAGAUUUGACUGCAUUUUUGUGUGGAUGUGGAUACAUUUUUUUGUGACAGACAUUGUGUCAACAGAGUUCUUGAAUCGUUUUUCCUGAGUUAACUCGAAAGUCAUGGUCUCUCUGAUGGAAGAAGACAAGAGAUUUGACUGUGGAGACAAACUGUGGAUACAAUUGUUAUGGACACAAAUUUCUUUUGUCUAUUUAUCUCUUCUCGUAACAGUUUUUUUUUAAUUGUGAAUUGAUUCACGAGAAAUCUAAAAAUGAAAAUUCAUACAAGAUGUGUACAAGAAAUGCAUACAUUAAAAACUUGUCCGUCCACAAUUUGCUUUUUUUUUUUAACUCAACAUCAACUUUUCAUUAGCCAAAUAUUUUGGAUACAAACA
rnacentral:lncRNA from 1 species